GCGUUUCCAACAUGGCGCCUCCCAUAUCUGCUUGACUUAUGUCAACAAGACCGAAACGCCGCUGAAGGUAAACGGGGGCUUUAUAAGGACACUAACUAAUAAUACAUCGACAGGGACGAUGAAAGUGUUGUUGGCUGUGUUAAAGCAAAUCUACAAGCCAGCUCUUUGCACCGGUAACCCGCGCUGUCUGAGCUCCGGGGCCACCAGCGGCCUGUUACCUCUCGGGGAUGAAGCUCCAAUGGUGGGCUCCAGCCCGGAGCUGGUGCAGAAGCUGCGCUCGCAGGUGGAGGUGAGGACGGACUUCAUCACUGAGGCAGAAGAGGCUGCUUUUCUGCGGGAGCUGGACCCAGGCCUGAAGAAGAAACGCUACGAAUUUGAUCACUGGGACGAUGCAAUCCACGGGUACAGAGAGACUGAGCGUCUGAGGUGGGGCGCGGCAUGUGAGGAGAUCUUGAAUCGGGUCCGAUCUACAGCAUUUCCUGAAUGUAGCCAGCUCCUCGGCCCUGUGCACGUUAUAGAUUUGGACAAGACUGGCUACAUCAAGCCCCACAUCGACAGUGUCAAGUUCUGUGGAAGCACCAUUGCAGGGUUGAGUCUGUUGUCUGACAGUAUUAUGCGCUUAGUGAAGGAGGACACACCCAGUGAAUGGCUGGAUCUGCUGCUUUCCCGACGCUCCCUCUACAUACUGAGGGACCAGGCCAGAUAUAAGUUCACUCAUGAGAUCCUGAAAAAUGAGGAGUCUGUGUUCAACGGGCAGAGAGUGCCUCGACAGCGACGCAUUUCUGUCAUCUGUCGUAACCUUCCAGGAUAAGCUCCAGCUCUAAUAACAGCAGCAGAUCAUCAAGUCCAACUUUGAGGUUUCUGCCAGUGAUACUCAUGGGCUCUAGACUCAGGCUGUGGAGGAGCUUCCCGGGAUGCCCUGACCACUUCUUCCAUACCCAUGUGAUUUUUUUUUUGAAUGCUCUGUUGCAUGUUGUAUCUUUUAUCUAUACCAUCCUUCAGGUUUUGUUUUGUCUUUUGUUGUUCAUGGUCUUUCUUCUCUUUCCCAGCUGGCCAAGGCAGAUGUUUGUUCUUCUCUGAGUGUGAUUCUGUCUCACAUAUAAACCUAAUGAAAUGGAGUUCCUUCUCUCGACUGUUGCCAAGUGCCGGUUCAUAGGGUGCUUUGUGAUUUUGGGGGUUCUUGCUCUGAUAUUGUAGAGUCUAUCCUGGUUUGAGCUGGUGCAAUGCAAAUAUAUUUCAAUUAAAUUGUAUCUAUAUUGUGCUAAUUCACAACAACAGUCACCUCAAGGCACUUAAUUUUGCAAGAUACAGUAUUAGAAUGAAACCCUAACAAUCACACAACCCUCUAUGAGCAAGCACUUGGUGACUUAGGGACAUAUUCAAGCACAA